CCCUUAGAUGUUCUGGGCCGCACGCGCGCUACACUGAUGCAUUCAACGAGUCUAAAACCUGGUCUGAUAGGGCUGGGUAAUCUUUUGAAUGUGCAUCGUGAUUGGGAUAGAUGAUUGCAAUUCUUCAUCUUCAACGAGGAAGGCCUAGUAAACGCAAGUCAUCAGCUUGCAUUGAUUACGUCCCUGCCCUUUGUACACACCGCCCGUCGCUCCUACCGAUUGAAUGUUCCGAUGAAUACCAUGGACUGAGAGUAUGAAUGGGUUCGCCUAUUUCUGCUUCUCGGGAAGUGGAGUAAAUCUUAACAUUUAGAGGAAGGAGAAGUCGUAACA
rnacentral:rRNA from 1 species